CAGUGUUUGGUAAACAGCCAGGGUCCGGAGCUCUGGGAACAGCCUGAUUUAGCUCUUUGUUUAAGUUUUGUGUUAGAGGCUCCCAAGAAGCUGAUGCAGGGGAAAGAAAUUAACAACCAUGGCUCAUUCACAGCCAGGCAGCCAAAUGGACAGCUCUAUAAGACUCAAGCCGACAGCGGAGAGAGUGCAACCAAACAGCCUUGGCCCAGCUUUCAGAGGAGAACGUUAUUCACCCCAACUGCUCUGCAUCUGCCUGGAUGUCUGCCAAGAUCGCAGUCUUCUUUCCACCAAUGACCCCUCGCGCUGCUUCCAGAAGCCAAGAAAGUGGGCUUUGUCCUUGGGGAUUUAGGAGGCGGAGCGGCGCCCCCUUGAGGCCACAUGGUGGAGGCAGCGAUGAGACCUGGAGUCUAAAAUUCAGACUGAAUCACAGGAAGAAGCUAUUUACACAAGUCAAACAUGGUCCAAUCUUGGCAAUUUCAUAAGGUUCCAAUCCUUAAGGGAUCAAAACCUGGCCAACUGCUUCCACCGAGAGGUGUGCCUUUCAAUGCCAGGCUUGGAGUGUCCCUCUUUAUUUAAAAAGGAGAGGAUUCCACAGCAGAGCUUCUCAAACUCUUCCACCCAAAUCCCCUCACCACAGAGGGACAGGAGUCCUGGGCAUGUAGCCUAAAGCAGCCAGGAGAAAAAAACCUUGACCUUAAUUUUUUUAAUGAUUUCACAUGAAUCAGUGGAAUGUGUUUAUGAUAAAAUCAUCUCCUCCUGAAAUACAUGUGUAAAACUGCUGCCCCAGUUAAACGCACUUAGUCUAACCAAGCCCUAGGAUUGGCCUCUCCAGCAUGAGAAGCAUUUCCAGCACUCCAGCUCCCCAGCUCCCACUCUGGGAUCCCACCUCAGACCCUCCCACUUCCUUGCACUCUGGCCUCUCGCUCUUGACCCUGCUCCCGCCACGCUCUUUCCUCAGAGUCCAUCAGUCCUGUCUUGUCUUCACCUUGGUCUCUGCCAAGUGUGGGUCCAAGUCAUAUAUUUGGGCUGUGAUCACAGGAACCCCAAGCCCCAGACCUCCCAAAGCACCCUAUGGAGAGACCUUACCCUCCUGGACAGACCCUCUCCCCCCAGCUAGACCUCAUCCUCUGGGUAGACCCAUCUCCCCAACCAGAACUCACCCUCCUGAGUAAACCCCAUCCCCCUAGCUAGACUUCAUCCUCCUGGACAGAUCCCAUCCCCCCAGCUAGACCUCACCCUCUUGGGUAGAUGCAUCUCCCCAACCAGAACUCUCCUGGGUAGACCCCUUCUACCCAGCUAGACCUGAUCCUCUGGACAGACCCCAUCAUCCCAGCUAGACUUCUCCCUCCUGGACUGUCCCCAUCCCCCCUCCAGCCAGACCUCACCCCUCUGGGUAGACCCCAUCCCCCCAACUAGACCUCACCCUCCUGGAUGGACUCUACCCUCCUGGAGAUACCUUCCCCUCCUGGGUACAUCCCACGUGGCUACACACUCCUUCCCCUGUCAGCUUUCUCCCCCAGGGUUCUGGGCAGCAGAGUCUGUGAUAAAGGAUACUAAGUGAUUCCCCAAUACUUCCCGUUUCCAGCCUCCAGUGGGCUCUCCCUGGGGCUAACGGUUCUUUUUGCUAUUUCUCCAGGCUUUGCCUGAUGACAAGUAUACUCUGAGAGUGUCCUAAUGAUACAGAUUUUGGACCCUAUCCCAGUUCUACUGAAUCCAAGUCUCUGGGGGAGGAGUUGGGGCUCUGCAUCUGGACACCUUCCUGCAGGGUCCCUCCUGGGAGGCAAGCCCGGGGAGCACCGCUGAGGCUCGCCUCAGUGCCCAUCCUAGACCUUCAGCAGCUAGCAGAGGAUGUCCCCACCAUCCCUCAGCCCACACUCCCACUGUCGCCCCAGCCAGGCUUGGCACUGCCUCCUUUCUCAGAAGAUUAAGACCAUCUGCUGUUUCCCAAGUUUCCCACCCUCCACCCUAAAAAUUUCUCCGUUUCCCAGUCUUUCCUCGUCUCUCAGAAAAUAAACAUCUUCCCAGGCUGCCUCCCCAGUGGGUCUGCACUCCUUGCUGUCUUCCCAGCACCUGCCCUUCCAGCCCGCCCUCUGUGUGUCCAGUGUUUCCCUCACCAAAGGACUCGCUUUGUUUUUCAAAUUGGAGGUUUUGUCUUCUCCCUAAAAACCAAAACAUCUCCCUGAGAAGUAACUCCCUCAAGCUACUGAUACGGAAGGGGGGCGGGGAAGUGCUGGGAAGGGAAGGGUGUGGUCCCUGGCUAGGGCUCCACCCCCGGGCCUGUGCCCACAGACCUAGGUGAGGACAGGCAUUUCUGUUUUCGUGCUUAAAUGUUGGAUUUCCCAAGACUACCCUGGCCUACCACACCCUCAUUCUGUGCCUGUAAAAAAACCUGAGAGCUUAGCAGGCACGCACACAAGCCUCUGGACGUCAAGAGGAACACACCGGUGUAAGAGCAGACUGAUAGUGGCCCACGGCAGGCUGGCAGGCCAUCGACAGGCAGAACCACUCAGUGCAGCUGGAGGACAGCCUGGCCACGGAGCGGUCCGACUUCAGAGGGGAAAACCACCUCCCCACUCCGUCUCCCUUCUGGCUCCCCCAUCUGAGAGCUACUUCCACUCAAUAAAACCUUGCACUCAUUCUC
rnacentral:lncRNA from 1 species